AGUUGCGAAGGCGGCUCUCUGGACUGUAACUGACGCUGAGGCACGAAAGCGUGGGGAGCAAACAGGAUUAGAUACCCUGGUAGUCCACGCUGUAAACGAUGAGUACUAGGUGUCGGGGGUUACCCCCUUCGGUGCCGCAGCUCACGCGUUCAGUGCUCCGCCUGGGAAGUACGCGCGCAAGAGGGAAACGCGAAAGCAUUGACGGGGACCCGCAAAAGUAGCGGAGCAUGUGGUUUAAUUCGAAGCAACGCGAAGAACCUUACCUAAGCUGGACAUCCCAAUGACAUCUCCUUAAUCGGGGAGUUCCCUUCGGGGACAUUGGUGACAGGUGGUGCAUGGUUGUCGUCAGCUCGUGUCGUGAGAUGUUGGGUUAAGUCCCGCAACGAGCGCAACCCUUGUCUUUAGUUGCCAUCAUUAAGUUGGGCACUCUAGAGA
rnacentral:rRNA from 1 species